UACGUAGGGUGCAAGCGUUAAUCGGAAUUACUGGGCGUAAAGCGUGCGUAGGCGGUUUUGUAAGUCUGACGUGAAAUCCCCGGGCUCAACCUGGGAAUUGCGUUGGAGACUGCAAGGCUGGAGUCUGGCAGAGGGGGGUAGAAUUCCACGUGUAGCAGUGAAAUGCGUAGAGAUGUGGAGGAACACCGAUGGCGAAGGCAGCCCCCUGGGUCAAGACUGACGCUCAUGCACGAAAGCGUGGGGAGCAAACAGG
rnacentral:rRNA from 1 species